CCUACGGGUGGCAGCAGUCGAGAAUCAUUCACAAUGGGCGCGAGCCUGAACCAGCCAAGUAGCGUGAAGGAUGACUGCCCUACGGGUUGUAAACUUCUUUUAUAAAGGAAUAAAGUGAGGCACGUGUGCCUUUUUGUAUGUACUUUAUGAAUAAGGAUCGGCUAACUCCGUGCCAGCAGCCGCGGUAAUACGGAGGAUCCGAGCGUUAUCCGGAUUUAUUGGGUUUAAAGGGAGCGUAGAUGGGUUGUUAAGUCAGUUGUGAAAGUUUGCGGCUCAACCGUAAAAUUGCAAUUGAUACUGGCAGCCUUGAGUACAGUUGAGGUAGGCGGAAUUCGUGGUGUAGCGGUGAAAUGCUUAGAUAUCACGAAGAACUCCGAUUGCGAAGGCAGCUUACUAAACUGCCACUGACAUUGAUGCUCGAAAGUGUGGGUAUCAAACAGGAUUAGAUACCCCAGUAGUC
rnacentral:rRNA from 1 species